ensembl:lncRNA
GUGUUAAAGACCUAUCAGUGACAACGCAGCAAUACAGAAGAGUCUCUCAGACUACAAAGGAAUCUGGAAGGAUUUGAUAGCUGAGGCUUUUCUUGUCGCAAGAACAAAGGGUGCUGUGUAUGGAAUUAAAGAAUAACAGGAGCUGGCAGAAAGGUGCGUGGGCUCAUGUCCCAGGCCUAUGCAGUGCUGGACCUUGGUGACUGUGGAAGGAUGGAGCAGAGCAGUGCUGACCCCAUUGCAGGGACAACACUGUAUCUCUGGGGCUCUUUGGCGUUGGUUCCCUCUCACCAAGCACGGGUCCGUAUUGUGGAGACAAUGAAGAUAGAAGCAAAGGGUGAACGUGGAGACCAACUUCUCCCAUUUCAGGUUGUGCCUUCCAGUAAUUUUCAUAGAAUCACAGAAUGGUUUGAGUUGGAAGGGACCUCUGAAUGCCGUCUGGUCCCACUGCCUGCACUGAGCAGGGACACCCACAGCUCCAUCAGUGCUCAGAGCCCCGUCCAGCCUGACUGUGGGUGUGUGCAGGGAUGGGGCACCGCCACCUCUCUGGGCACCCCGUGCCAUUCCUCACCAUCCUCAGUGUAUUACUGUGCCCUUAUUUUGGGGAUGUUUUCCAGGAAAGCACUGCCUGUCGCUGCCAACCUGGUAGCUCCUCUUCUGCCCUGCUGGGGCUGUUGGCUUAGAAUCAACUUCAUGUGGAAAUUAUUUUUAACAAAUAUUUCUUAUGGAAAUAUUCUAUUUACAGCAUGUGCUAAAAGCAUAAAACGUGAGAAGGCAGAUUUGGGCACUGUAUUAUUAUUAUUUUUUUUUCCUCAAGGACUCAGGGAAUAUUUUGCACAGAUAUUUUAAACAGCUGUUAUAUUUAGCAAGUCUAAGCUUGAUACGAGAAGUAAAUAAAUCAAAGCAGCAAACACAACAGAAGAGAAAGAGAAGCCACAAUGCAGGUUUUGAGCCUGUCCAAAACGCGUGGGUUUGGAAUACAUUUGUAUUUGGAAAUGCAGCAUCUCGGAAGCAGUGCAGGUGGGUGAAGGGUUUGAAGCUUUGUGCUGCUCUAACACAGCACUGAAAGCUGAUAAGGAUGGAAAAUGGUGUUUUUCUGGAGGUUAAUUGGAAUUUAAGUGGAAUGGACCUCAGAAGCAUCACAGUGUGCUGAUGCUGCUCUGGGAUUUGUAGUCAAAUAGCCUUUGUAGUCCUUGUGUUGUCCUGGUGGGUUUCUCCAAUCUGGGCAACUGAGAGCCUGUGGCUACAAGAUACCAACCUAAGGUGUUUGGAAGAUGCCCUGCAGGGCUGUUAUGGGGAUAGCAGCGCCUUGCAAGUCACUUCUCAACAGAAGGCCGAGGAGAUGAGGUGUGGACAUCAGAGCACAGGGCAGGACGGAGGCUGAGCACAGCAGAACUGA